CAAGCUUUGGCAGGAAGCUGCCAUAAGCUGUCUUACCUUGAUUUGAGUUGUACAUCAACAAGCAAAAGAGGAGUUUGCUUGUUGGCUAGCUUCUGCUUCAGUACUUUGGAAUGUGUGAAGAUUAGUUUCUGCAAGGCUGUAACCCCGGAUGCAGUUGCAAAACUAUGUAAAAACUGCAAAAGACUGAAGAUACUUCAUUUAUAUGGUUGCCGGUUCAUGCCUGAUCUAGAGUCCAUUAAAAAAAUCAAUAAAACCGUUGAAGUGUUUCAUGACCUGCCUGUACCAGCUGCUAAACUGUCUUCUGAAUGAGGAACUUUCCCAACGUAAAAUAUUACUUUAGUAAAGAGAUGCUGUAUUAGUUUGUUGGUUCAUAUUUCAUUGCUUUAUCAAAAAGACAUAUACAAAUUUAAUUUAGACAAAUACUAUGUCUGCUGAGAUUCAGUCCAGAUUCUUACUGUCUCUGUAGUUAUCUUCAGCAUCUGUAAAAUAGAAACAAAAAGGUCUCAUUUGCAGAGCUAUGGAAGAAAUAAAGUUUUGCGUUUAAUCUUGUUAGAUCAAGGAUCUCUGACCCUUUUGAGCCUGUGGUCACUUAUGAAAUUCUGACACAAGGUGGUGGGCACAACUACAAACAGCUAGCACAGGAGACAAAACCAACCACAAAAUGGCUGAAGCAGGAAAUGGAGUCGUACACACAGAGGCAGCUCCAAGUGCAGGAGAGAAGUGAUGGAAUAGGGUAAUCAACAUACAUUGGACAUGGUGGGGAGGGGCUCUGCAUGACUCUCUGUGUGUAUGUGAACUCUCUUGAGAGUAAGCUGCUUCUGUGUCUAAGGUGGGAAUGCCUCUUGACACCUCCUCUGUCUUUGUGUCUUUUGGGAGAUUCUCUUUUCUCUUGCCUCAUGGCCUUCCAAGGGGAAGGAUACACUUUCCAGAGCUCCUGCCAUGAAGGCCUCAUCAACAUACCUGCAUGUAAGAGUGAUACCAGGUUAGCUAGCCAUGCUCAAUAGGGAAAGUUCAGCUUUAGACUAGCAGUGCAGUCCUAAGCAGAGUUACUCCAAUCUAAAUUCAUUGAUUUCAAUGGGCUUUGACUGGAGUAACUCUGCUUAGGAUUGCACUGUAGGACGCUUUCUUUCUACUCCAAGGUAUUGUCACGAAUGGAAUCUACUUCAGUAAACUAUAAGUUACUCACAUUUUCCUACCAACUCAAAUUUAUGCAGAUGUGAUAAUGGCACAUCUCGCUGUCAUGGUCUUCAAGCGUUCUGAGAAAUUUUUGGCCAGAAGUGGCUGAAUAAAUUCAUUUUACUAGGAGCUCUCUUGUUGCUUCGAAGACAGAAAUGUAAUGGUUAACUCUAACAUAAAAGUGGUCACUGAUUGGCUCUUAGCAAGGUUGAUUUUGGACUGCUCCACUCAUUGCCAAACUCCACAAUCAGAAAACCAGCACAGGAACAUCUGACAAUGCCUUAUAUGAAAUCAGAUAAUUGGUCAGUAUUCUCCACUUUGAUUAGCUGCAGCUUUCUGGGGUCUCAGCUAGAGAUUUUCCUCAUUGAUUACUACCUGAUUCUUUUAACUGGAGAUGAUAAAGAUUGGAUUUGGGACCUUCUGCACGAAAGCAGAUGCUCUAUGGCUGAUCCAAAGACAAGAAACUCUGAACUGGAUGGUGGAUGGUGAAAGUUUCUAGAAUAGUGGGUUGCACUCAAAAGACAGAGUUUGCAACUGUUUUGUGGGGAAACCUCUGGAACCUAUUUUACAAUGCUUGGAUUAGACUGCUGAUAUAUCUGCUCAAGCCAUUGGAACUCCCUCUUUGACUUUCUGGUAGACAUUCCAUACCUAUCUCUGUCUCUCUCUAUUUUGUGUAUGUUUUCCCCUAGCUUUUAAAGUAGUAGUGAUAUUAACUGUAGUUGUUAUGAUGCAAAAAAGAAAGCGAGAGUUUGAAUGACCUAUACCUAUGUGUGUUCAUACAGUAAAUAAACUUUAUAUAU